rnacentral:rRNA from 1 species
UAGCUGGUUCUCCCCGAAAGCUAUUUAGGUAGCGCCUCGUGAACUCAUCUUCGGGGGUAGAGCACUGUUUCGGCUAGGGGGUCAUCCCGACUUACCAACCCGAUGCAAACUGCGAAUACCGAAGAAUGUUAUCACGGGAGACACACGGCGGGUGCUAACGUCCGUCGUGAAGAGGGAAACAACCCAGACCGCCAGCUAAGGUCCCAAAGUCAUGGUUAAGUGGGAAACGAUGUGGGAAGGCCCAGACAGCCAGGAUGUUGGCUUAGAAGCAGCCAUCAUUUAAAGAAAGCGUAAUAGCUCACUGGUCGAGUCGGCCUGCGCGGAAGAUGUAACGGGGCUAAACUGUGCACCGAAGCUGCGGCAGCGACGCUUAUGCGUUGUUGGGUAGGGGAGCGUUCUGUAAGCCUGCGAAGGUGUCCUGUGAGGGAUGCUGGAGGUAUCAGAAGUGCGAAUGCUGACAUAAGUAACGAUAAUGCGGGUGAAAAGCCCGCUCGCCGGAAGACCAAGGGUUCCUGUCCAACGUUAAUCGGGGCAGGGUGAGUCGACCCCUAAGGCGAGGCCGAAAGGCGUAGUCGAUGGGAAACGGGUUAAUAUUCCCGUACUUGGUGUUACUGCGAAGGGGGGACGGAGAAGGCUAUGUUGGCCGGGCGACGGUUGUCCCGGUUUAAGCGUGUAGGCUGGUUUUCCAGGCAAAUCCGGAAAAUCAAGGCUGAGGCGUGAUGACGAGGCACUACGGUGCUGAAGCAACAAAUGCCCUGC